rnacentral:piRNA from 1 species
UCCAAGUACCAGUGCCGAAGUGGCAGCUUG